rnacentral:rRNA from 1 species
AGAAUCAACGCUGGCGGCGCGCCUAACACAUGCAAGUCGAACGAGAAAGUCCGCAAGGAUGAGUAAAGUGGCGUACGGGUGAGUAACACGUGGAUCAUCUACCUCUUAGUGUGGAAUAACCCUGGGAAACUAGGGCUAAUACCGCAUAAGUCCGAGAGGAGAAAGCAGCAAUGCGCUGAGAGAGGAGUCCGCGGCCGAUUAGCUAGUUGGCAGGGUAAAAGCCUACCAAGGCAAAGAUCGGUAGCCGGCCUGAGAGGGCACACGGCCACACUGGCACUGAAACACGGGCCAGACUCCUACGGGAGGCAGCAGUGGGGAAUCUUGCACAAUGGGGGAAACCCUGAUGCAGCGACGCCGCGUGAGCGAUGAAGCCCUUCGGGGUGUAAAGCUCUUUCGGCAGGGAAGAUUAUGACGGUACCUGCAGAAGCAGCUGCGGCUAACUACGUGCCAGCAGCCGCGGUAAUACGUAGGCAGCAAGCGUUGUUCGGAGUUACUGGGCGUAAAGGGUGUGUAGGCGGUUGCUUAAGUUUGGUGUGAAAUCUCCCGGCUCAACUGGGAGGGUGCGCCGAAUACUGAGUGACUCGAGUGCGGGAGAGGAAAGUGGAAUUCCUGGUGUAGCGGUGAAAUGCGUAGAUAUCAGGAGGAACACCGGUGGUGUAGACGGCUUUCUGGACCGUAACUGACGCUGAAACACGAAAGCGUGGGUAGCAAACAGGAUUAGAUACCCUGGUAGUCCACGCCCUAAACGAUGCACAUUUGGUGUGGGUCAUUCAGUUGAUCCGUGCCGGAGCUAACGCGUUAAAUGUGCCGCCUGGGGAGUACAGUCGCAAGGCUG